AUACGACAUGUCCCUGAGUCUGAAGUAAUUUGUGGCUUUACAUAUAUAGGGGUGCUCUUCAACUUCUUUAUUCUGUAGCUCAUGAGCUUGAAUUGUCCAUCAGGAGGAACAAAAGACAGAAUUUGGUUUGAUUCCCAUGGUCGUAGUCGAACACAAGGAUGGAAUCUUACAUCAUUCAGGAUGGAAGUAUUUGCAAAUGAAAGGGUAAGAUCAGGAAGACCAGAAAGAUGAGAAUUCACUUGAACUUCACCAUAGAUCUCACAUUUCACCAGAACCCCGUCUCUAUUUAUAGUAGCAUCCAUUUCUUCAACUAAAUCAACAUAAA
rnacentral:misc_RNA from 1 species